AACGUAGGAGACAAACGUUAUCCGGAGUUACUGGGCGUAAAGGGCGUGUAGGUGGUUGUGUAAGUUCGGCGUGAAAUUUCUCGGCUUAACCGGGAGAGGUCGUCGGAUACUGCACGACUAGAGGACGGUAGAGGCGUGUGGAAUUCCGGGUGUAGUGGUGAAAUGCGUAGAGAUCCGGAGGAACACCAGUGGCGAAGGCGACACGCUGGGCCGUACCUGACACUGAGGCGCGAUAGCAUGGGGAGCAAACAGGAUUAGAUACCCCGGUAGUCC
rnacentral:rRNA from 1 species